UAAAACGCUUUGACUUGAGAAUAGUAAAUGAAUAUCCGUUUUCUAAGAGAGCUGCGGGGUGGUGCAACGCAGUAAAACGAAUCAUUGAACUCGCUCAAGGAGCGGCAAGACUGAAUAAAUAAGUAAGUCUUUACGUGUGACCUCCGUUAUCGGGUUUCAAGUUGGAUUCAGCUAUGUCUGAGUCAAUAAGAGUGGUAACGCGGUUGCAAGGUCAGUCGUCUCUUCA
rnacentral:ncRNA from 1 species